UACGUAGGGGGCAAGCGUUGUCCGGAUUUAUUGGGCGUAAAGAGCGUGUAGGCGGUCCGGUAAGUCCGCUGUGAAAGUCGGGGGCUCAACCCUCGAAUGCCGGUGGAUACUGUCGGGCUAGAGUGCGGAAGAGGCGAGUGGAAUUCCUGGUGUAGCGGUGAAAUGCGCAGAUAUCAGGAGAAACACCUAUUGCGAAGGCAGCUCGCUGGGACGUUACUGACGCUGAGACGCGAAAGCGUGGGGAGCAAACAGG
rnacentral:rRNA from 1 species